CUCGAUAAUUAUUGCGAAUCUCGCAAAACAGUAUGGGACUUUUAUUUUUAUCUUAACCCAAUCUACCUUCACAUUUCGGGUUGGCAACUUAUAAUUAACCACCCUGUAUAAAUAGGAAGGGCUAUUAUUCCAUGCAGUUACAUGUGGUCAGUAAUCAUGAUUUAAAAUUUACUCAUGUUUAUGCAGGACAAAUAGGAUCAGUACAUGAUAUGAGUUUUUCGACUAUCAAGUUUAGAGAAUUUAUGUACAGCACAAAAUUUUCCUGAAAAUAAUCACAUAUUAGGUGACGCUGCCUAUAGUAUCCAAAAAUAUGUUAUGGUUUGCUAUUCAAAGACAAUGGACAUUUAACUGAUGCGCAAAUAAAAUACAAUAUUUGCUUGUCUCAAGCCAGGAUGAUGGUAGAAAGAGCAAUAGGCUUGUUAAAAGGAAGGUUUCGGAGUCUUUUAGAUACACUACCCAUGAGAAGAGCCGAUUUAAUCCUUAAAUAUAUCGUUGCUUGUUGUAUUCUACAUAACAUUUGUUUACUCCAAAAUGAUCAUAUGGAUAUACCUGUUAUUGUAGAACAAAACAAAUAUGCACAAAAUGUCGAAAUGGGAAUCUUACAAGGUUUACGAGAAGAAGGCAUUGAAAAACGUAAUGCAAUCAUGUAUUAUUUACAAAAUGAAAAUUGUAAUUUUUAAUAAAAUAAUUAACAAAAAUUCUAAUUUUGAUAUUCCUUA